UAUAUGAAGGUGCAUAUAGUUUAGCCUGCUCACUGAUUAAAUUAAAGAGCCGCAGUAUUUUGACUGUGCGAAGGUAGCAUAAUAAAUUGUCUUUUAAAUAAAGGCUUGAAUGAAAGGUUGGACAAAGUAUCAUCUGUUUCUUAAAUAUUUAUUGAAUUUGACUUUUAAGUGAAAAGGCUUAAAUAAAUCAAAAAGACGAUAAGACCCUAUAAAUCUUUACAAUAAAUAUAUUUUAUAUUUUAAUUUAUAUGUUUAUAAAAAAUAAAAAUAUAACUUUGUUGCGCUGGGGCGGCGUAGAUAUAUAAAUAAACUGUCUAUAGUUUAAAUACAAUAAUUAUUGCUUAAUAUAAAUUGAUCCUUAAAUAGAUUAAAAGAUUAAGAUACUUUAGGGAUAACAGCGUUAUUUUUUUUGAGAGUUCUUAUCGAAGAAAAAGUUUGCGACCUCGAUGUUGAAUUAAAGUAUCUUUAUGGUGUAGCCGCUAUAAGAGAGAGUCUGUUCGACUUUUAAUACUUUACGUGAU
rnacentral:rRNA from 1 species